UAGAAACAUGAAGGGAGGGGGAGGGGAGGGGGGAGGUUCUUCAUUAGUUUGAAUCGGUCCCUUCAGGCUGAGACCCGGAGGCCAUGGUUACAUUGGAGCAGCUUUAAGGUCGAGCCUGGUGACACUUUCUGAGCUCGCCGUCACUCGCAGAGCAGCUGGUGCAAAAAAAUUGAUCCAGUCGCGUUUAUGUAACCGUGAUCACCAGGAUCGAUGUUUCUGUUCUUCACAUCAGAACUUAUCUGUGUACUGACCGCAGAAAAUGAUCGGUUUUAUAUUCCAAAUACACAUUUCAGGCGGUUUGGGAAACCAAAAUAUUAUUAUUUGUUGCAGUAAAUGUUUUGGGGGUGAAAAAUGACACACAGGUGUUACGUAACGCUCAAUGUUUCCAACACACACACACACACACACACACCAGAGAGGAGGGGGGCAAACAAAGGGAGGAGUGAGAGUACACCGCCUCAGACAGAGGAACAUGAGAGUAAGGAGACAACAUCUCCGCAACCAAAGGCCGAGAGCAGGAAGAGGAGAGCGACAAACCCCCCAGGACGGCAGAAGGGAACCAUCGGGAGGAGCAACUCCUUCCCUCAGCGUCAUCGGCCCCUCAGAGGAGACGAGUCCCUGCUCCUCCGGAAAGGGACGACGCGAACCUCCACAGACCACAACGACACAGCCGAGUAAAUCGCGCAUCACCUGGACGCGCCGCGCGUUAAUGCGACUGCACACACGGGACGCAGGUGACACAACGCAAGAAGAGUCUUCUGCCCCGGCUGACCCGGUCAGUCCGAAGAUGGACGCCGGAGAGGAGACGCUGAACGUCCUGAGCAACAUCUGGGCGAAGCUGCGGGCUCUUCCCAACGCCAACCACGUGGAGCUGGCGGCUUUCUUUAUCGUCUUGACCUUCGUCUCGGUGGUCCUGCUCAUGACGGUGCUGACCUGUGUGAGCUGCUGCUGCCGCCGCCGCCGCGAGACAAAGCUCAAAGUGUCCAACGUUUGAGCCAAUCAUCAAUCGCGAGAGGGAAGACGGGACUGUUCUGAGACGCUUGAGACACUAGUAAUGUAUAUAUACGUUUAUAUAACCUGUUUGUGCAAACCAUUGGGUAAAAACUCAGUUUCCUCACACUCCUCUUAAUUUAAUUGUAAAAAGUCUGGACCAGAACUGAAAUAUAAUAAUAACAACAUAGCCGAGCUACAGGUGCUCCUUGACCUACUUAAACCUGAACCACAGAGCAAGUCUGCCCUCUGCUGUGCACAAACUGAAAUGGACUGGUUUUAUUUUCUGUUUCCAUGUCAUUAUGUCAUCAUGUAAUACUUUGUGCAUCUAAAUGCUGUAAAUGUCUCGGGUGCGCGACGAAUAAAAGGAGGAUCUCAUCUCAUGCUUCUGAAUG